ACCCAGCUCAGCCAAGUAGAGCAUGUGACUCUUAAUCUCAGAGUUGUGGGUUUGAGCCCCACGUUGGGCA